rnacentral:misc_RNA from 1 species
GUUUUCACAUUCCAGACCGAUAUCUGCCCAUGCGCUGGCGUGAGUUUACAUCCUCUGUGGCUAAGCCCACACUCUUAUCCCUACCAAGUGAUCAUUUGGGAAAAGUUCAGUUAUUGCAGUCCAUGAUUUCAACACUGAUUAAUGAAUCAGUUGAAACCGAAGAACGCCUCAAUGUUGUUUGUGAUGAAGUUUCUACAGUUUUAUCUCGCAUUAAGGGGUUACCUACAGCAUCCAAUUCGGGUAAUGCUAUUGCAUAUGAGAGCCCAUCAGACUCGCUGAUUCUUGCAGAGGUUGAGGAUUCUGAAGGCAUUGGUCAAAGCUUCACUUGCAGCCCUCACGAGUGUAUAAAUUUGGCAAAGUUGAAAGAGAGAGGAUCCA